UGUGACAAUGAUGAGUUGCACUCUUGGUCGGCGUUACUGGUUGCAGUGGUACCAGAACCCCGUCCCGAUCCUCUAUGGUGACACUUAAUGUGCACAGGGGCCAUCUGAGUCACA